GGAUAUGAGGGCGAUCCGGCUGUGACUUCCGUCACCCCAUUGAUCGCAAGGGUUGAUUCAGCUGAUCUGGCUGAAUCAACCAGGUGUCCCCUUCCUCCCUCACUGCUCCAUGUGCGUCCCUCCCGAAGCUGUGUGCUCAAUGGAAGAGGAUGGCCUUCCCCGAAUAGAGACGGACUGGUCUUCAGUUGAGGGUAUAUGAGUACCUCCGCUCCCCUGCUAAAACCUCCAAACAAGCUCUCAAGAAAGAAGGAAACAAAACUCUUCAUGUACAUAUAGCAAGGUAUCAGAUAUUGGUGAACAUGAGCU
ensembl:misc_RNA 7SK 7SK RNA